GAUGAACGCUGGCGGCGUGCCUAAUACAUGCAAGUCGAGCGAAUGACGAGGAGCUUGCUCCUCUGAUUUAGCGGCGGACGGGUGAGUAACACGUGGGUAACCUGCCUGUAAGACGGGGAUAACUCCGGGAAACCGGAGCUAAUACCGGAUGAUAACGAGAAGCGCCUGCUUCUUUUUUGAAAGUCGGUUUCGGCUGACGCUUACAGAUGGGCCCGCGGAGCAUUAGCUAGUUGGUGAGGUACCGGCUCACCAAGGCGACGAUGCGUAGCCGACCUGGGAGGGUGAUCGGCCACACUGGGACUGAGACACGGCCCAGACUCCUACGGGAGGCAGCAGUAGGGAAUCUUCGGCAAUGGACGAAAGUCUGACCGAGCAACGCCGCGUGAGCGAUGAAGGCCUUCGGGUCGUAAAGCUCUGUUGUCAGAGAAGAACAAGUACCGGAGUAACUGCCGGUACCUUGACGGUACCUGACCAGAAAGCCACGGCUAACUACGUGCCAGCAGCCGCAGUAAAAC
rnacentral:rRNA from 1 species